UACGGAGGGUGCGAGCGUUGUCCGGAAUCAUUGGGCGUAAAGGGCGCGUAGGUGGCCCGGUCAGUUCGUGGUGAAAGCGCGGGGCUCAACCCCGCGUCGGCCAUGGAUACUGCUGGGCUGGAGCACUGUAGAGGCAGGCGGAAUUCCGGGUGUAGCGGUGGAAUGCGUAGAGAUCCGGAAGAACACCGGUGGCGAAGGCGGCCUGCUGGGCAGUUGCUGACACUGAGGCGCGACAGCGUGGGGAGCAAACAGGG
rnacentral:rRNA from 1 species